rnacentral:rRNA from 1 species
AACGAACGCUGGCGGCAUGCCUAACACAUGCAAGUCGAACGAGACCUCCGGGUCUAGUGUCGCACGGGUGCGUAACGCGUGGGAACCUGCCCUUAGGUUCGGAAUAACUCCCCGAAAGGGGUGCUAAUACCGGAUAAUGUCUUCGGACCAAAGAUUUAUCGCCUUUGGAUGGGCCCGCGUUGGAUUAGCUAGUUGGUAGGGUAAAAGCCUACCAAGGCGACGAUCCAUAGCUGGUCUGAGAGGAUGAUCAGUCACACUGGGACUGAGACACGGCCCAGACUCCUACGGGAGGCAGCAGUGGGGAAUAUUGGACAAUGGGCGAAAGCCUGAUCCAGCAAUGCCGCGUGAGUGAUGAAGGCCUUAGGGUUGUAAAGCUCUUUUACCCGGGAUGAUAAUGACAGUACCGGGAGAAUAAGCUCCGGCUAACUCCGUG